GCCUGGGUGGCGGAAUUGGUAGACGCGUUGGACUUAAAAUCCAAUGUCAGCAAUGACGUGCCGGUUCGACUCCGGCCCUAGGUA
rnacentral:tRNA from 1 species